rnacentral:sRNA from 1 species
AAACUCACCAAACUCAUACUGGCCACUGCCCUCCUCGUGCUUGUCCUCUGGACCCAGUUACACACCUGUCCCCCCUUUCCUGUGGCAGGGCCAGAUCGUGGCACCCAGAGGCUGCCAGGACUUUGGCUGGGACCCCUGCUUUCAGCCUGAUGGAUAUGAGCAGACGUACGCAGAGAUGCCUAAGGCGGAGAAGAACGCUGUCUCCCAUCGCUUCCGGGCCCUGCUGGAGCUGCAGGAGUACUUUGGCAGUUUGGCAGCUUGACUUCUGCAGCUGGAGGAGGCCCCUCAGGCCGGGGAUCUGGGGAGGGCUAGCCCAAAACCUCCCGCAUCGGGCAGGCACCCCUUGAAGUACUUCCUUCAGGGUUUCCCCUUUGUGAGGGUGUCGAGUAGCCUCACCGGCCUGUCUGGAGGAGCAGCUGGCUCUGCUCUGAGAAACUCUGGCAAGUGGACGCCAUUCUCUUGCCCUUAGGAUUCACUGCUCUCUCCUACAGCCCCCAGGCCUGGGGUCCUGAAAGGACCUUGUCUGGUAAAGCUGCACUUGGUGGGAGUGAGGGCGUGGGGAGGAACCAUGCAAAUCGCCUUCCAUGGUUUUAAAUGCAAUAAAUAACAUUUCUGGAUGAGACUUGUUUCCAAAAUAAACCAGCUGUAUCUGUUUUGAACCCUGCCCCA